rnacentral:rRNA from 1 species
AGUGAACGCUGGCGGUAGGCCUAACACAUGCAAGUCGAACGGCAGCACAGUAAGAGCUUGCUCUUACGGGUGGCGAGUGGCGGACGGGUGAGGAAUACAUCGGAAUCUACUUUUUCGUGGGGGAUAACGUAGGGAAACUUACGCUAAUACCGCAUACGACCUACGGGUGAAAGCAGGGGAGCUUCGGACCUUGCGCGAUUGAAUGAGCCGAAGUCGGAUUAGCUAGUUGGCGGGGUAAAGGCCCACCAAGGCGACGAUCCGUAGCUGGGCUGAGAGGAUGAUCGGCCACACUGGAACUGAGACACGGUCCAGACUCCUACGGGAGGCAGCAGUGGGGAAUAUUGGACAAUGGGCGCAAGCCUGAUCCAGCCAUACCGCGUGGGUGAAGAAGGCCUUCGGGUUGUAAAGCCCUUUUGUUGGGAAAGAAAAGCAGCAGGUUAAUACCCCGCUGUUCUGACGGUACCCAAAGAAUAAGCACCGGCUAACUUCGUG